UACGGAGGAUCCAAGCGUUGUCCGGAUUUAUUGGGUUUAAAGGGUGCGUAGGCGGACUAAUAAGUCAGAGGUGAAAGUUUGCAGCUUAACUGUAAAAUUGCCUUUGAAACUGCUAGUCUUGAGUAUAGUUGAGGUGGGCGGAAUGUGUCAUGUAGCGGUGAAAUGCUUAGAUAUGAUACAGAACACCGAUUGCGAAGGCA
rnacentral:rRNA from 1 species